rnacentral:rRNA from 1 species
UCGAUAACGAACGAGACCUCGACCUGCUAAAUAGUUCGGCGAACCCUUCGGGGUUCGCGCGUGACUUCUUAGAGGGACUAUCGGUGUGUAGCCGGUGGAAGUUCGAGGCAAUAACAGGUCUGUGAUGCCCUUAGAUGUUCUGGGCCGCACGCGCGCUACACUGAUUCGUUCAUCGAGCUUACAACCUUGACCGGCAGGUCUGGGUAAUCUUCUCAACGCGAAUCGUGCUGGGGAUAGAUUAUUGUAAUUUUUAAUCUUAAACGAGGAAUUCCUAGUAAACGCAAGUCAUCAACUUGCAUUGAUUACGUCCCUGCCCUUUGUACACACCGCCCGUCGCUACUACCGAUUGAAUGGCU